GAUGAACGCUGGCGGCGUGCCUAAUACAUGCAAGUCGAGCGAACGGACGAGAAGCUUUCUUCUCUGAUGUUAGCGGCGGACGGGUGAGUAACACGUGGAUAACCUACCUAUAAGACUGGGAUAACUUCGGGAAACCGGAGCUAAUACCGGAUAAUAUUUUGAACCGCAUGGUUCAAAAGUAAAAGACGGUCUUGCUGUCACUUAUAGAUGGAUCCGCGCUGCAUUAGCUAGUUGGUAAGGUAACGGCUUACCAAGGCAACGAUGCAUAGCCGACCUGAGAGGGUGAUCGGCCACACUGGAACUGAGACACGGUCCAGACUCCUACGGGAGGCAGCAGUAGGGAAUCUUCCGCAAUGGGCGAAAGCCUGACGGAGCAACGCCGCGUGAGUGAUGAAGGUCUUCGGAUCGUAAAACUCUGUUAUUAGGGAAGAACAUAUGUGUAAGUAACUGUGCACAUCUUGACGGUACCUAAUCAGAAAGCCACGGCUAACUACGUG
rnacentral:rRNA from 1 species